AGUGAACGCUGGCGGCGUGCUUAACACAUGCAAGUCGAACGAGAACGGGCUAUAGCUUGCUAUAGUUGUCAGCUAAGUGGCGCACGGGUGAGUAAUGUAUAGGUAAUAUGCCUCUUACUAAGGGAUAACAAAUGGAAACGUUUGCUAAUACCUUAUACUCCUUAUUAACAGAAGUUAAUAAGGGAAAGAUUUAUUGGUAAGAGAUUAGCCUGUAUUGUAUCAGUUAGGUGGUGGGGUAAUGGCUUACCAAGACUAUGACACAUAACUGGUUUGAGAGGAGGAUCAGUCACACUGGAACUGGGACACGGUCCAGACUCCAAGGGGAGGCAGCAGUGGGGAAUAUGGCACAAUGGACGAAAGUCUGAUGCAGCAACGCCGCGUGGAGGAGGACACAUUUGGGUGCGUAAACGCCUUUUAUAUGAGAAGAUAAUGACGGUAUUAUAUGAAUAAGCACCGGCUAACUCCGUGCCAGCCGCCGCCGUAA
rnacentral:rRNA from 1 species